rnacentral:rRNA from 1 species
GAGUUUGAUCCUGGCUCAGAACGAACGCUGGCGGCAGGCUUAACACAUGCAAGUCGAACGAGCUGGGACCUUCGGGUCCCGAUGCUAGUGGCGCACGGGUGAGUAACACGUGGGAACGUACCCUUUAGUACGGAAUAACUGAGGGAAACUUCAGCUAAUACCGUAUGACUCCUUAGGGAGAAAGAUUUAUCGCUAAAGGAACGGCCCGCGUCUGAUUAGGUAGUUGGUGAGGUAACGGCUCACCAAGCCAACGAUCAGUAGCUGGUCUGAGAGGAUGAUCAGCCACACCGGGACUGAGACACGGCCCAGACUCCUACGGGAGGCAGCAGUGGGGAAUAUUGGACAAUGGGGGCAACCCUGAUCCGGCCAUGCCGCGUGAGUGAAGAAGGCCUUCGGUUGUAAGCUCUUUCGUACGGGACGAUGAUGACGGUACCCGUAUAAGAAGCCCGGCCGAAACUUCGUGCCAGCAGCCGCUGUAAC